GGCGGUUCGCCGCCGAUGACGUCGCGAGAAGUCCACUGAACCUUAUCAUUUAGAGGAAGGAGAAGUCGUAACAAGGUUUCCGUAGGUGAACCUGCGGAAGGAUCAUUGUCGAGUCCCGCACGGCAGAACGACCAGAGAACCGGUAACAAAAACCACGAGGACGGGGAGCUUCGGCCCACGUCCCUCGACACCCCUUGGGUUCGCGCGGGCGCCUCGAGCGCUCGGGCGUCCCUCGGCGGAACAACGAAAAACGGCGCGAAAACCGCCAAGGAACAUGAACAAGAGAGCGAAGCUCCCGUCGCCCCGGGCACGGUGCGCGAUCGGGAUGCCGCGUGAUCUCCUAUUAUCAUAACGACUCUCGGCAACGGAUAUCUCGGCUCUCGCAUCGAUGAAGAACGUAGCGAACUGCGAUACUUGGUGUGAAUUGCAGAAUCCCGUGAACCAUCGAGUCUUUGAACGCAAGUUGCGCCGGAAGCCGUUUGGCCGAGGGCACGCUUGCCUGGGUGUCACACAUGGCGUUGCCCCAACCCCCUCGCCUCGAGGAAACUCGGGCGGGCGGGAGUCGGGUGCGUAGAUUGGCCUCCCGCGACGGUCUCGUCCCGGUUGGCCUAAAAUCGAGCGUCGGAGCGAUCAGCACCACGACAUUCGGUGGUUGACUAAACCCCAAUGAUCAGAUGUCGUGCGUGCCCGCUCGUGCGCACGCUCCGCGGAUCAGUCCCCUUACCAAGCGCGACCCCAGGUGCAAGCCGGGGCUACCCGCUGAGUUUAAGCAUAUCAAUAAG
rnacentral:rRNA from 1 species